CAGCAGCCGCGGGAAUACGUAGGGUGCAAGCGUUAAUCGGAAUUACUGGGCGUAAAGCGUGCGCAGGCGGUUAUAUAAGACAGAUGUGAAAUCCCCGGGCUCAUCCUGGGAACUGCAUUUGUGACUGUAUAGCUAGAGUACGGCAGAGGGGGAUGGAAUUCCGCGUGUAGCAGUGAAAUGCGUAGAUAUGCGGAGGAACACCGAUGGCGAAGGCAAUCCCCUGGGCCUGUACUGACGCUCAUGCACGAAAGCGUGGGGAGCAAACAGGAUUAGAUACCCCAGUAGUCCCUGUCUCUUUACA
rnacentral:rRNA from 1 species